GAGGAAGUAUGCAAGAACUGCUAACUCCUGCCUCCGUAACUAAACUUACGGCUCCCUC
rnacentral:tRNA from 1 species